GUCCCUCGCGGAUGGAGCUGAAAUCAGUCGAAGAUACCAGCUGGCUGCAACUGUUUAUUAAAAACACAGCACUGUGCAAACACGAAAGUGGACGUAUACGGUGUGACGCCUGCCCGGUGCCGGAAGGUUAAUUGAUGGGGUCAGCGCAAGCGAAGCUCUUGAUCGAAGCCCCGGUAAACGGCGGCCGUAACUAUAACGGUCCUAAGGUAGCGAAAUUCCUUGUCGGGUAAGUUCCGACCUGCACGAAUGGCGUAAUGAUGGCCAGGCUGUCUCCACCCGAGACUCAGUGAAAUUGAACUCGCUGUGAAGAUGCAGUGUACCCGCGGCAAGACGGAAAGACCCCGUGAACCUUUACUAUAGCUUGACACUGAACAUUGAGCCUUGAUGUGUAGGAUAGGUGGGAGGCUUAGAAGUGUGGACGCCAGUCUGCAUGGAGCCGACCUUGAAAUACCACCCUUUAAUGUUUGAUGUUCUAACGUUGACCCGUAAUCCGGGUUGCGGACAGUGUCUGGUGGGUAGUUUGACUGGGGCGGUCUCCUCCUAAAGAGUAACGGAGGAGCACGAAGGUUGGCUAAUCCUGGUCGGACAUCAGGAGGUUAGUGCAAUGGCAUAAGCCAGCUUGACUGCGAGCGUGACGGCGCGAGCAGGUGCGAAAGCAGGUCAUAGUGAUCCGGUGGUUCUGAAUGGAAGGGCCAUCGCUCAACGGAUAAAAGGUACUCCGGGGAUAACAGGCUGAUACCGCCCAAGAGUUCAUAUCGACGGCGGUGUUUGGCACCUCGAUGUCGGCUCAUCACAUCCUGGGGCUGAAGUAGGUCCCAAGGGUAUGGCUGUUCGCCAUUUAAAGUGGUACGCGAGCUGGGUUUAGAACGUCGUGAGACAGUUCGGUCCCUAUCUGCCGUGGGCGCUGGAGAACUGAGGGGGGCUGCUCCUAGUACGAGAGGACCGGAGUGGACGCAUCACUGGUGUUCGGGUUGUCAUGCCAAUGGCACUGCCCGGUAGCUAAAUGCGGAAGAGAUAAGUGCUGAAAGCAUCUAAGCACGAAACUUGCCCCGAGAUGAGUUCUCCCUGACUCCUUGAGAGUCCUGAAGGAACGUUGAAGACGACGACGUUGAUAGGCCGGGUGUGUAAGCGCAGCGAUGCGUUGAGCUAACCGGUACUAAUGAACCGUGAGGCUUAACCUUACAACGCCGAAGGUGUUU
rnacentral:rRNA from 1 species